CAAUAGCGUAUAUUUAAGUUGCUGCAGUUAAAAAGCUCGUAGUUGGAUUUCGGGUGGGAAUGGCCGGUCCGCCGUUUCGGUGUGCACUUGCUACGCCCACCUUGCUGCCGGGGACGUGCUCUUGAGUUCACGCUCGGGACACGGAGUCGGCGAGGUUACUUUGAGUAAAUUAGAGUGUUCAAAGCAGGCCUACGCUCUGAAUACAUUAGCAUGGAAUAACACGAUAGGACUCUGGCCUAUCUUGUUGGUCUGUAGGACCGGAGUAAUGAUUAAGAGGGAUAGUCGGGGGCAUUCGUAUUUCAUUGUCAGAGGUGAAAUUCUUGGAUUUAUGAAAGACGAACUACUGCGAAAGCAUUUGCCAAGGAUGUUUUCAUUAA
rnacentral:rRNA from 1 species